CUUGCCCGCUGGCGGCAUGCUUUACACAUGCAAGUCGUACGGCAGCGCGGGCUUCGGCCUGGCGGCGAGUGGCGAACGGGUGAGUAAUACAUCGGAACGUGCCCAGUAGUGGGGGAUAGCUAGGCGAAAGCCGGAUUAAUACCGCAUACGACCUGAGGGUGAAAGCGGGGGAUCUUCGGACCUCGCGCUAUUGGAGCGGCCGAUGGCAGAUUAGCUAGUUGGUGGGGUAAAGGCCUACCAAGGCGACGAUCUGUAGCUGGUCUGAGAGGACGACCAGCCACACUGGGACUGAGACACGGCCCAGACUCCUACGGGAGGCAGCAGUGGGGAAUUUUGGACAAUGGGCGAAAGCCUGAUCCAGCAAUGCCGCGUGUGUGAUGAAGGCCUUCGGGUUGUAAAGCACUUUUGGCGGGAACGAAAAGGACUGUGCCAAUACCACGGUUCGAUGACGGUACCCGCAGAAUAAGCACCGGCUAACUACGUG
rnacentral:rRNA from 1 species